rnacentral:lncRNA from 1 species
GAGCUAUCAGUGUGAGGAUAGGUUACUUUACGCAAUGAGGUUCCAUACCUACAUUUUCGUCAUAGUUGUGACCCGUUCGUUGCCCAACGAUGUUUAUUGUGAAUUGGGAUGUGAUAACUCACGGAAUCACUUGCAGACCUGUCAAGCUUACUGCAACUCUGUGUGGGGUAGGGCUCCCUUGCUCAACAAGCCGUACAGUCAUGGAGCCUGCUUCAACAACGACUGCGUCUGCAAGUUCAACACAAUCGAAUUGCAGCCAUACGCAGAUCAAUGUGUACACAGGUCCGUUUGGGGAUCGGUUGGGAGCAAUAAAAAGGUUGCCGAACGAGCUAUCAAGGCGAAAACUAUUCGCAUGGACGUAAGACAACGAUUUGAUGUAUUCAAGAAAUCCUACGGAAAAAAAUAUAGCUCAAAGACAGAGGAGCAGAGGCGUUUCGUGAUAUUCAAUGAGAACUUGAUCAAAAUCGAAAAACUCAUGGCUACAAGGAAAGGGAGUGUCGUCUAUGGUGUCGGCCCAUACACGGACUGGACCAGCGAAGAGUACAUGAAAUCGAUCGGCGUCCAUUACCCGGAGGGCAAAACUGAGUCCGGAAGACUGCAACCGCGAAUGGUAAAUUCUAGCCGAUAUAGGAGAAGUAGAUCGAUGUCAUCUGAACCACCCUUUCGGACACCUAAGCGCGGGGGCUCGGAACCCCUUACCAAAACAAUUACUACUUUGGGACGGAUCCACAAGGAGCAGUCAUUAAGGAUUGGCGCGUUCCUGCCCAUUUGUAUCCACCAUAUCAGGCUCAAUUUAAGUACGUAA